rnacentral:rRNA from 1 species
UACGUAGGGAGCAAGCGUUGUUCGGAUUUACUGGGCGUAAAGAGCGUGUAGGCGGCCCGGUAAGUCCGCUGUAAAAGUCAAAGGCUCAACCUUUGAAUGUCAGUGGAUACUGCCGGGCUAGAGUCCGGAAGAGGCGAGUGGAACUCCUGGUGUAGCGGUGGAAUGCGCAGAUAUCAGGAAGAACACCAACGGCGAAGGCAGCUCGCUAGGACGGUACUGACGCUGAGGCGCGAAGGCGUGGGGAGCGAACGGG